UACGUAGGGGGCAAGCGUUGUCCGGAUUUACUGGGCGUAAAGAGCGCGUAGGCGGAAGCUUAAGUGUGGCCUGAAAGCCCCCGGCUCAACCGGGGAGAGCGGCUGCAGACUGGGUUUCUUGAGGGCGGCAGAGGAGAGUGGAAUUCCUGGUGUAGCGGUGAAAUGCGUAGAGAUCAGGAGGAACACCCGUGGCGAAGGCGGCUCUCUGGGCCGACCCUGACGCUGAGGCGCGAAAGCGUGGGGAGCAAACAGG
rnacentral:rRNA from 1 species